UGUUAUGUUUGCGAUCUCUGUCUUGGUACCUAAGGAAGGAGGAAGAAGAGGAGGAGGAGGGUGUGUUAUUGAAUGGUGGCUAAAGCCUCCUCGGGACGGCGCUGAGGUGAAACACGCUGAACCCGAGUGAUGUAGCUCCGCUCCCGGUCGGACCCAGUGCCCUCAGCAGCCGACGGGAGACCCCGGCCGCCGGCUCCAGGCUCUGCUCUUCAAAGCUUUCCUUGCCUUUAAUCACGUGAACAAACCUUUCAAGUCAUGUUGUCAGCUCGAGAUCUGGCAGAGGAACAGCAGUGUGGAAGCAGCCCCUGCCAUUAGCCAAGGUACAGAAAGGAGCUGGUGACCUGCGACAGGACGAAAGACCUCACUUACCAAGAUUUGCUCACGGUUAUGCUUCUGGCAACUGACAUUUCAAUUUUACUCAAAGCUUCUAUAUCUGUGUCAUCAGAUGAAGCCCCAUGAGUGGUGGCAGAGCCUUCUGAAACUGUGGCCUUCAUUUUCAAGUUUGAAGAGAAAAAACUAUUUACAUGCCUAAAUUCCAGAACUUGCUGUUCAGAGGUCACUGAUUUACCCACUGCUUUAAGCCAUUAAGGUUUCCAAAAGCUCUAUAAAGAAAUGGGACACAGUUUGGGGCAGAAAACUGUUACUGUUUUUCAUUUUGUUUAGUUUCAUUUUUGUUGUAUCAUUUGAUUUUUGUCCUACUAGAGGAACAUGAAGAUGGAAUGUUUCUGUCAUUGCUUACAAUGAAUGACUGUUUAAAGGGACUGUCAGAGUUUUCACACUCCUUAAGAUUGUUAUAAACUGAAGGAGAAUGUCUUUUAAUUUGUUAGGAUUUCAGACUUUCUUUUGUGAGGAAAAUUAUUGAUUAAUGCAAUGACUGCUCCUUUGUUGUUUAUCACUCUUCCAACUCAGUAUUUUUAUGUUCUUUGGGUUAUGAAUUUCGGCAAAUGUCUACUUAUGUGUUUUAAUAUUGCACUGUUGUUUGGUUUUUUUGUUUGAGUGUUUUUUUCAUUUAGACCAUUUAGAACAUUUCUCAUGUUCUCCUGAAUUAGACCCUUGAAUUUAAUGACAAUUCAUACAAUUCCCAGAAACACAUUGUUACCAGUAAGUGUUGUGUACCAACAUGGAUGAAUCUAGAAGUUAGAGAGGGAGCACAAGUAAUGACUUUUUUUUUUCCAUUCACAGAGGAAACACUAAGAAGUCAGCAUUAUUUAACAGAAAUGAACAAAUGGAAAGGUAUUUAUUUGCCAAACUGCAAGAGGAUGUCAGAAACGAUCACUGCUGGGAAUACUGAACACCAUUGGACCUAGUGCUGGUGCCUGCUGGAUACCAUUAGAAACAAUUCAAUAUUAAUUUUCUUUGUAAUGUACCUUUUGAUGAUCUGCUGGCCAGCUCUUAAUUGAAAUUGUGAACAUUGAUGCUAUGUAGUAAUUUUUUUUCUUAAUAAAAGUAUUUGAAAACUUUCAUUAUGCACCUAUCAAUUAAACAAACAGAAAAUAAGCACCCCUUAAGUGAAAAAUAAUCAGUGGACCAGGUAGAAAACAAACGCCCAGGAUUAAUAUUCUUCACUUUUCUUUGCACAUGAAAAUUAUUUUCACUUUUUCAAAACAUUUCAUAUAUAAAUAAUACUGUUCAUGUUUCAAAACUGAAGGGAUUCUGAUUUGCCUGACGUAUCUAUCUUAAAAUGUUUAGGGACUUUCUGAAUUUAUUGAGAUCGCCGUUAGGAAGUUUACAGAACUGAUGCCAGCACUGGUGCAUUCAAUUUCUUCAGCUGUUUUUAACACAUUUUGCUAACAGUUUAUCUCUCAGAUAAGGUAAUGUAUGUUCUGUAAUUUGCCACAAAACAUAAAAUUCAUAAAACUGGAAAAAAGAUUCCGAACUUUGGCAGACAUGCCUUGUAUUCAUUUCUGUUUGUAAAAGGCAGAGCAUUGCAUCUGCUAUGUUGACAGACAAAGGUACAUUCACAAUACUCUUGAAACAUUACUAAUGCACUGAAGCUGUUUGAGUUUUUCCAAGUAAAGAUAAAGAAGGGAAUGAGCUUUGAGAGGAGAAGACUAACUUAAAAUGUCACCCUUUCUUUUUGUGGACCCUUUUGCUUUCCAGAAAAAAGUUCUGGUGAAAUUUAUGAAAAAGAAGUUUCCAAGAAGUUCAUUCUUUUUUAAACAAAUCUAAGGCUUUUGGAUUUAUUGGACUUUUCUGUCUUUGUAUAGAUUGAAUAUCACAGCUAAUAGCACAGUAAUAAUUACAUGUCAUUCUCUUUAUCCUCUUUGUGCACUGACAAUUGACAAAGGUGUCUCAUUUCACACAUCAUUUGUGACGUCCUGUGGUAAUACUGUGUGUUUUGGGAAUAGCUGUUGAAUGUAGUCAUUAAUCUCCAUUUUGAGAUGUGUAGUGCCAGAAUCUGGACCCAAUUCUGUAACAAUUCUAAGCACAGGUGAAGUCAAUGGGCUAGCAAAACUAUGCUCAGAACCCAAGAGGAAGAGUAAGACAACUUUAAACUGUAUUACAGGACUACAGGAUUUCCCAGUCCUGCAGCGGGGCUGCACUGGCCACAGCCCAGUAUAGGGAAACAAGUUAAUUCUUACUGAGGCAAAGCAGCCACAGAUCCAGUCCCAACUUCAACACAGAGACAGCUUGUGAAAUUGAAAAAGAGGAAUAAAAUAAAAAGUACUAUACGUGCCUGAGAAAUCUUAUCAACCCUGGCAGAGAUAUUUAUUGCUUGCUGAUGACUGAGAAUCUUGUCUUGCCCAGGGACUAGUUGCAAGUUACUAAUGGAGUAAAAAUGUAGGGUGAGCAGUGAAUGACAGUCUAUGGCUGAUUACUCCUAUGUUAUGCUUUGGGAAUGGCAGCCAGAAAUGUGCAGCUCAUUCUGCCUUUAGAAUUAAAGGCACCUGAUUACAAUCUCAUUUUGUUAAAAUACAGUGCUAAUGACCUGCUUGUGCAGUAGCUGGAUACCAUAUCAACUGCCAUAUAAGCUAAGUUUUUUCAUUUUAACAAUCCUAGUUACAGUAUCCAACUGCCUGUGCAUAAACAUUCGCCAGUUGUUGCUGUGCGUCACUGGAGAGAAGGGAUGCAGCAGUUUCCACUAGGCAGGGAAAGCCAGUGGAAGAUAAACUUUGUACUAAGAUGUCCUAUCUCACAUUAGAAGAGCUGUUUUGAGUAGUUUAUAAAAACAGGUCUUUUAAAAAUCCAACCAUGCUUGCUCAGGUCAGACUCUAUGGCAUAUCAACAGAGGUUAAGUCCUGUUUUCUCAGUGAUCUCUUCCUUAGAGUUCUUUUUAAUUUUUGUAAUCUUUUUUUGCUGGUACUCAGCUGUUUGCACCUUUGAAUUUUUUCUAUAGCUAGUCUACAUCUUCAUUUUGCACAAGUUAUAGAUCAUCUUCCAAACCUUUGUUAGUAAAUGUAUGUAUACACAUCUUCUCACUACUUGCAAAAUCUUUUUUUGUAUUAAGGGUUACUUCUGUUAUCUUCCAACAACCUUGCUGACAGCAACUGUAUUGUUAAAUACAAGGGUACCUUGUUUUUUUCCCCUACGUAUGCCUUUCAUUCAACAGAUCCCAAACUAAGCAAGUGCGUGGGUGACAUACAUUGACGUUUGCUAUUAUUCAAUCUUAUUCCAUGAAAUCCUCUUCAGGAAACUGUACAUUUAAAUCUGUUAAUUAUAGCAAUGUCUAUACUAUUAAACAUUUAUCUGAAAGGAGUUCUCUGAAAGCACAGAAAUGAAGAUAGCUUUCUAAGUAACUGUUUUUUUGGUAUACAGCAGGGACAAGCAUUAUACCAAGCCACAUUUUUCACAUGGCGUUAGAUGGCUCCAGUGUUUUAUACGUUUGGUUUUUCUCCUACAUGUCUGAUGCAAUCUAUUACAUGUGUAAUUCUGAGUAUGUUCUUUCUUCAAAAGUGAAUUUCAAUAAUUCUUUCACUGUGGUUGAUACUGUGGCAGGGCCCAUCCCUCUAAAUCUAUGUAACUGGCAUUUUCUCCAAGUGCAUUUUCUCCUCUUGUCUCCCCAGGUCUCUGCCAGUUGUCUUCAAUAGCCUUUCAUAUGAAGUAGCACUACUAUAAGCUGUUGUGUCAAAAAUCAGAUAGGAUCUUAAAGAAAGCAAAGUGUAUAUCAAUCUAUUCACACUCAGGUGGUAUUCAGAGUCUAUCAAGAGGAGAAUAAGGUCUGUAAUUGUUAUUUUUAAGAAGCAUGGAGGGCAUCCAGAAGAGUUGAAGUGGGAGCCCUUUCAAGUAUAUACCCCGAAGAAGCAAAAGGAGUAGUAAUAAACCUAAACUUUUCCCUGUAAAGUGGAAGACUGUUGGAAGGAUGGACUCAUUAGCUAGGUGCUGGGUGCCAAGUCAUUCUCUAUUUCCUUCUUAUUACUUCCAGGCCGUGACUGUGUUCUAACUAUAUCCCAGAUCAGAACUUUACCUGAGAAUAUUAGUGAGUUGAAAAAGAAACCCGUAAAACAGUUAUGGUCCCAAUGUCAGUAUGAAAAUCAAGACCAUGAUUUUUUAACUGCUCCAUUAAACAGUUAUGUCAGUUGUAAUUUCUGCUUCUUGGAAAUGUCCAGCAUUCAAAGAGCUCUCCACAAGUCCACAUUCAGCUGUGCUGGAUUGAAAAAGAAACCUAAAAACAAAAAACCAAACAAAACAGAAAAAAGCUCUGAUUACUUGAGGAGAAGCCACCUCGCUCCCCAAUCUCUGCUAAGUCCUGAUCUGGGUUCAGGUUUACUCAUACAAGUUGGCACUAGUCCUUAAGUUUUUUGCCAGAUGUGUGUAGACAAUGUAUUUGGUAUCACUGCUGUCUCCUCCUUCUCUAACUCUCCAAAGAGAGUCUGCUGGUGACUUCUUCAGUCAUUAGACAGCCGAAGGAUUCUCUGGCUCUGUCCUCAGGAGCAGUGCAACAGAACAAGGGCAAGCUACCACAGACUACUGCUUUUAUUCCUCUCAACACCACAAAUUAAAACAAGAAUAUGAAAAACCCAUAUGACUUCAUCCUUCAGACCACAAGUGAAGCUGAGUCAGCAAGUGGUGAAGAAAACUGCAUGUAUUUAUAGUGAAUGAGCAAUUAUUUCUUUUUCAUGAAAUGUUUGUAGCUAAUCAACUCAAAUAGCUGCCUAUCUAAUAAAUACAAGCUGCAUAUAAUCCUGCCAAACAAGUGCGCUUGAAUGGUAUAUUUGGCAGCGCUGAACAACUCUCAAGGCAUAUUAGUUUUUCACUUUUUGAGUCAAUAGGUUAAGAUCUGAGUAAGAUUAAAAACUACAUUUUGAUCUUUUGUUUCAUAGUGUGUGCUGCUUUUAUUCAUACCCAAGUUUAGUUCCACUGAUUUCUGCAGAGGUAAUGGUGGCAGGAACUGCUGAACCCAAAGCUAGCACUUAACUCUUUUUUUUUAAACAUCCUAAUUAUGUUCCAAAGCUUGUCUUUGACUUCUUUUUUUUUUCUUCCUCACACUUUUUAAACAUAUCAAACGGGUUCAGCUUGAAUCUGUUUCAGUUUGAAAUUCACAGAAAUCCAGCAACUGUAUUUGUACAUGUAAGAUAAAUUCUAAGAACAACCUCUGAGCAUUUUUUUGAUGUUUAUUGUAUAAAUGAGAGUCUAUUUGGUACACUUCACAAACGCCCGUAGUAUGGGGAACAAACAAGAGGAAUUA